rnacentral:rRNA from 1 species
UACAGAGGGUGCAAGCGUUGUUCGGAAUUAUUGGGCGUAAAGGGCGCGUAGGCGGUGCGGUAAGUCUGUAGUGAAAUCUCUGGGCUCAACUCAGAGUCUGCUGCAGAAACUGCCGUGCUUGAGUGUGGGAGAGGUAAGCGGAAUUCCUGGUGUAGCGGUGAAAUGCGUAGAUAUCAGGAGGAACACCGGUGGUGUAGACGGCUAUCUGGACCGUAACUGACGCUGAGGCACGAAAGCGUGGGUAGCAAACAGG